AAGAUGAUUCAAGUAGACGACCUAAAUCAAAACGUGGAAUAAGAUAGAAUAUCAGAAAUAUAGGCAGCCGGGUGGUUUAAGGGUGAUUAUAUAUACAAGAGUCCAAUGACAGUACUGUUUGAGAAAAAAAUUCAUGGAUAAUCUUGUCUAUAUCUCAAGCUUUCAUACAAGGAGAUUACUUGUCACGAAUCGUUUAAUAUAAAUUAAAAAGUUAAGGGAUAUCAGGCCUUCUAGGAAUCUUACUCGCAUACAAAGCUACGCCCUUGUUUGAGCCAUUCUUUUCCAUUUUUUCUACAAGACUUAUUUUCAAC
rnacentral:lncRNA from 1 species